rnacentral:rRNA from 1 species
CAGUCGCCGCGGGAAUACGUAGGUGGCAAGCGUUGUCCGGAAUUAUUGGGCGUAAAGCGUGCGCAGGUGGUUUAAUAAGUCUGAUGUGAAAGCCCACGGCUCAACCGUGGAGGGUCAUUGGAAACUGUUAAACUUGAGUGCAGGAGAGAAAAGUGGAAUUCCACGUGUAGCGGUGAAAUGCGUAGAGAUGUGGAGGAACACCAGUGGCGAAGGCGACUCUCUGGUCUGUAACUGACGCUGAGGAGCGAAAGCGUGGGGAGCGAACAGGAUUAGAUACCCCAGUAGUCCCUGUCUCUUAUAC